rnacentral:rRNA from 1 species
UACGUAGGGUGCAAGCGUUGUCCGGAAUUAUUGGGCGUAAAGAGCUCGUAGGUGGUUUGUCGCGUUGUUCGUGAAAACUCACAGCUUAACUGUGGGCGUGCGGGCGAUACGGGCAGACUGGAGUACUGCAGGGGAGACUGGAAUUCCUGGUGUAGCGGUGGAAUGCGCAGAUAUCAGGAGGAACACCGGUGGCGAAGGCGGCGUUCUGGACUGCAUCUGACACUGAAAGACGAAAGCCAGGGGAGCAAACGGG